rnacentral:lncRNA from 1 species
GUGCUCAACAGAAGGGGUGACGCCAUAUGGAUGCCAUGUUAUGGGAGCCUGUCACCUGCUAACCGAGAUGAGAAAUUACAGGUUAUAAUCCCCUUCCUGCUGUCCGAGGAGCCCAGCUUUAAAAGAUAGCCAAGGAGGAGUUAUUUUAUAGAAUGGAAGUGAUUUCUAUGGGGCCAAGCAAUAAUAAGGAAAUUGGAAGUCAAGGACUAUCUUCCGAAUGGAGAAGAAGCUCCAUCAACCACAGAAGGAAAUCAUGAUCACUCUUGCCAUCCUGCUCCUUUGUGUAUCUGGGAUGAAGAAGUCUUGCACAAUGAAAGGACAACAUUGCUGCCAAAAGAAUCCAUCGUGAAUGUAGGCAUAUUUUCCACCCUCAUCCUGCAGGUUUUCUGCCUGUUGUUGGCCCCUGACCAAUUUUGCUCCUGGGCAGUCCGAGGUGGAACAUAAUUUGUAUAAAACAAAUUAUGCUCAACAUCACUUAUAAUCAGGGAAAUGUGAGUCAAAACCACAAUAAAAUAUCACCUCAUGCUGUUUAGGAUGGCUGUUAUCAAGUAGACAAGAAAGAAGUGUUGGUGAGGGUAAGGAGAAAAUAAAAUCUUUGCACACUGUUGGUGGGAAUGUAAGUUGGUAAAGCCACUAUAAAAGGCAAUAUGAAGCAUUCUCAAAAAAUUAAAAAUAAAAUUGCCAAAUGAUCCACCAAUCCCUCUUCUGGACACAUAACCAAAGGAAAUGAAAUCAGUAUCUCAAACAGAUAUUUGCACCCCAUAUUCAUUGCAUCAUUUUUUGUAAUAGCCAAGAUAUGGGAGCAAUUGAAGUGUCCAUCAACAAACGAAUGGAUAAAGAAAUCAUGGUACAUAUAUACAGUGGAAUAUUAUUCAGACAUAAAAAGGAAGGAAAUCUUGUCAUUUCUGAAGACAUUAAUGAACCCAGAGGACAUCAUACUAAGUGAAAUAAGCUAGAUACAGGAAGACAAAAACCAUAUGAUCUCACUUACAUGUGGAAUCUAAAAAAGUCAAACUCAUAGAAACAGAGAGUAGAAUAGUAGUUGUCAGGGGCUUGGGAUAAUUGAGGAGAUGUUGGUUAAAGGCUACAAACUUUAAGUUAUAAGAUGAACAAGUUCUGGCACUCUACUGUACAGUAUGGGUGAUGACGGAUGUGUUAAUUAAUUUGGUUGUGACAUUCAUUACACAAUGUAUAUAUAUAUCAAAUCAUCACAUUUUACACCUUGGAUAUAUUCCAUCUUUAUUUAUCAAUUAAAUAUUUCAAAAUGUUUUUAAAAAGGAAGGCAAAAUGGGCCAAAUGGAGAAACUGCUUUGUGUAGAGCUGAUGUCCAGGCUAGAAUUUCUGAACUUUUUCUGUAACCUAGAGUCUCUUUUAUACUUUUGACUUACCCAUUAUUCAUAACAGAUCUCAGGAACACUCAUCACACUGCCUAUUGCUAAAAACUCAAAGGAGUUAUUGUUAUAUGAACAACCCAAGUUAAUGCAGUCAGUAAUGGAAAUACAGAGUCUUGACUGAAACAGGUCAUUUCUAUUUUUUGUUGCGAUAGUCAGAUCAUAGCCAGUCACAUCUUUUAGGGAGGAUGCAAAUAGACUGGAGUUCCUUCAGCAAACAGGAUGCUGUAGAAUAAAAUAUUCUACAUGAGAAUACUUAAACAAAUUGGAGUGCCAGGUGCCACCAUGUAAAUUGUGAGGUGUCAAACAGGCUGGUCUUUGGAUUAGAGAUUGGACUUACUCUCGGUGGCCCUAUGAGUAGAGCGGGUCGGGGUGGGGCUGGGCAGGGAGGAAGAUCAUCUUAAAGUGAUAGAUGUAGGCUCAGUGUGAGGAAGGAUUUCUAAGAGUUGGAGCUGCUCAGAGGUGAAAUAUCAAGAGUGCCCUUCAGGAACAGUGUCUGAAGACAGACCACAUGGCCAAUAGGGAGAGAUAAGCAGGCUGGGUGGCCCUCAGCGCUUUGCUUCCAGUCUUGGGAGUCUUACUGAAAUAGCUAAUGACCACUCAACCCAAAGAACAGACACAUGUCUGCCAUGUCUCUCUGGGCUCAUCCUGUUUAUUGCAAGUGAGGCCCAAAGGUGGGGCUCUUAUUCCCUGAUGUUUCAGGUCCACGUGCAACUUAUUCCCAGAUCUUUUCUGGAAAAAAAAAAAAACAAAAAACAAAAAACAGAGAGACUGUUUGCCAGACAGCUGGACCAGAAUGAGGGAAAAGAAGAUAAGGCCCAACUGAGAAGUCAGAAAAGCUUCACUUUUCAUUAGCUCCACAUUCCAAAGUAAGAAAUCAAUGUGCUUAGCUGCAAUUCAAAGCAAUUAGUCUUUGUUCUCACACACUCUCAAAGAAUGACUUAAAGAAGCC